AAGGAGACAGUGUUAGCUUGCCUAUGCUUUUUCCAAGAUUCAUAUAGCCUUUUAAGAGAGAGAAGAAGCAGCCCAACAGUUGUGUGGAUACACAAUAUGGCUAUAAUAAGUCUACUAUAUGAAAGCAGAAGGAUUAAUUCAAGAAGGAAUGGAAUGAAGUCACACAGGAUGGAAGAAUAGCGAGUUUGAUUUGUUCAUAUCUGAAAUUCAAAGCAGGCUUGGGAGAAAAUGAAUAAAGCAGAGAUCACUGAACUUAAGGUGAACCCAAACAAAUUAGAUUCAUAUGGCUCUAAGAGUCAGCUGAUGAAAUCUUUAUAUAUGUGAGUUAUCUUUUAAAUAUUUUCUUAUGAAACAUCUGUAACUGAAGAAACUGAGGUGUCAAAUAUAGAAAGAGGUAAAAGCCUGAAAGAGAAAAAGAUAAAUGUCAAAUUGCCAAUUACUGGCAUAUUCAGUAGCAUGGUGAUUAGAAAUACAUGAAGCAACUUCCAGGACAGCUGUCCUGCUAACACGGACAUUCCUUCAUCUGAGAUGUAUGACCAUUCUUUUAGUCCAAAAUAUCAUUCUGGAUCUGAAUUUAAAUUUCCCAAUGGAAAGUCAUUCACAGCUGGACAGUUUCACAAAGAUAUUUGAUUUUUGACAUGUCUCCAAAAACGACAUGAACAUUUCCUGAGCAGAUUUACCAACCUGGAUUAAAAAAGAACUGACCUGGAGCAUGGGCUUAUUUCCCCUCAGUGAUCUCUGAGUGUUGAUACUGGCAAAUUAAAUUGACAUUUAAUGAUCCAUCACAAGGUCUUUCAGUCUUCUGACAUUUAUUAUAUGUGGAUAGAAGAAAUUGUUAUUGAUUACUGCUUGGUCAAUUAGAAGGCAGUAGGAUCCUGAUAACUUAGGGUUUUUGACUUGUGCUGAUCUCUGUGCUAGGCUGGUUGACAUUUGGGAACACAGCUAGUGAGAAAUGACUGCAAUGCAAUUGUGCAAGGGAUUUUACAUAAUGGUCUUCCAACCAUAUGGGGCCCUGGUGAUAGGAAGAUGCUGACAAGCUGGGAAAGACAACUGGAAUAUGUUUCUUGACUCUUGGAUUAUUUUUGAUAAUAUAUUAUGGAAGUUUAAAGGGAAAGUACAGACUGUAUUUUUGUUUGUGCAGUAAGAA